GUCCCAUUGGGGACAUCUGAUAAAGUUGAAAUGAUACAGACAAGAUUAGCAUGGCCCCUUGCGCAAAGAUGACACGCACAAAACAAUUCUAUGUUAUCUUU
rfam:Medicago truncatula strain A17 chromosome 6, whole genome shotgun sequence.